rnacentral:rRNA from 1 species
GGAUUAGUACGUCGGUCGUGCCUUCGGUACGUACUGGUGUUACUGAUUCCUACCUUCUGACGAACCAUCAUGUCAUUAAUUUGGUGUGGCGGGGAAUCAGGACUGUUACUUUGAAAAUUUUAAAGAGUGUUUAAAGCAGGCUCGCGCUUGAAUACAUUAGCAUGGAAUAAUGAAAUAGGACGUUGACCCUAUUUUGUUGGUUUCUAGGAUUGACGUAAUGAU